GACGAACGCUGGCGGCGUGCUUAACACAUGCAAGUCGAACGGAAAGGCCCUGCUUUUGUGGGGUGCUCGAGUGGCGAACGGGUGAGUAACACGUGAGUAACCUGCCAUUGACUGUGGGAUAACUUCAGGAAACUGGGGCUAAUACCGGAUAGGAGCUCCUGCUGCAUGGUGGGGGUUGGAAAGUUUCGGCGGUUGGGGAUGGACUCGCGGCUUAUCAGCUUGUUGGUGGGGUAGUGGCUUACCAAGGCUUUGCCGGGUAGCCGGCCUGAGAGGGUGACCGGCCACAUUGGGACUGAGAUACGGCCCAGACUCCUACGGGAGGCAGCAGUGGGGAAUAUUGCACAAUGGGCGGAAGCCUGAUGCAGCAACGCCGCGUGCGGGAUGACGGCCUUCGGGUUGUAAACCGCUUUCGCCUGUGACGAAGCGUUAGUGACGGUAAUGGGUAAAGAAGCACCGGCUAACUACGUG
rnacentral:rRNA from 1 species